GGCGUGGCGGGCCUCUGGUGGCACCGCGCCCAGCACUUCGGGCUCUUGGUGGCGGCCGAGCUGCGGGACCAGAGAUCCCCCCACUCGGCACCCCUGCUCCUGCCGAGUGAACAGGACUCCUGGCUACUCUGCACUGGCUUUCUAACUUUCUGAUGGGGGUGCAGUCCUUUGCAUUCCAGGGGUCACAGCAACACCCGCAUCGCCCGUUCUCAGCCGCAGGGUCUCCGCCUGCAUCACUCGACUCUAAAAUUUCCUUCCCUAGUGCACGGAACUGCUGUCCAGGACUCUGCUCUCCGACUACCUCAGGGAGGAUUCUGUUUUGGGAAAAGUAAGCCAAAACCUAUUGAUAAGGGUUCAAAAAUGUUUCACUUUUUUCUCUCUCUGUCGGAUAAAUCGGUCAACUCUAGAUUUCAGGUCCCUUCUGAAUUGACUCAGUUAAGGUGAAUGGUUGUGAAUGAGGUCCCUUAGAGUUCUGUGUUUCUGUGCCUUUAAUACUAAGAUUUAGUCCAGGACAUGUAAACCAGUUUAGAAUGGAAAAGCUUUAAGUACAAACAGAUUAACACACGUGACCAUGUGUUUGCUUUAGUCUGAGUGUAGAACUCAAAUUUCUGCAGUAUUUAAUUUCUACAGUUUCCUUCUGAGCAGAAAAAGAAUACCAUAAAAAUAUUUGCAAACAUUAUAUAUGGUGAUCUAGGGUCACGUCUCCAAGUUCUAAGCUUCUGUGGCUCCACGCACACAGGUUCCCUAAUGUUUACUAUGCAUCUGUCACUGUUCUGUUCUAUUAGAUUGCCUUAACUAUAGGCUUGUCCUAACGUAACCAUCCAAACCUAAGGAAGGAGAAACUUAAGUGACUCUGUGAACUUAGUGAAGUGACCAGAUUUAGGAAGGCUAAAACCCAGAGGAAAUAAAAUGGAAAACUUGAAGGUGACAAAUUAAAGUGGAAAAAUAGAUUAAUUUUUUUAAACUUUAUUGUCCUGAGAAACAAAUCUAUAAAUUCAUUAAUUUUAUUUUAGAGACUAUCUCUAGAUUCCUGGAAAUGAAGGAUUCAUUAUACUCUUAGAUCAGAUAUAAUACUGAUUUCUGUGUAUACGUUAAUAAACUUUUUUAGAACAA
ensembl:lncRNA ARFGEF1-DT ARFGEF1 divergent transcript